rnacentral:rRNA from 1 species
ACGGGUGAGUAACGCGUGGGAACCUGCCUUUUAGCACGGGAUAACAGUUGGAAACGACUGCUAAUACCGUAUACGCCCUCCGGGGGAAAGGUCCGCCGCUNNNNGAGGGGCCCGCGUCUGAUUAGUUUGUUGGUAGGGUAAUGGCCUACCAAGGCUACGAUCAGUAGCUGGUCUGAGAGGAUGAUCAGCCACACUGGGACUGAGACACGGCCCAGACUCCUACGGGAGGCAGCAGUGGGGAAUAUUGGACAAUGGGGGCAACCCUGAUCCAGCCAUGCCGCGUGAGUGAAGAAGGCCUUAGGGUUGUAAAGCUCUUUCAGUGGUGACGAUGAUGACGGUAACCGCAGAAGAAGCCCCGGCUAACUCCGUGCCAGCAGCCGCGGUAAUACGGAGGGGGCAAGCGUUGUUCGGAAUUACUGGGCGUAAAGGGCGCGUAGGCGGCGAAGGUAGUCAGGCGUGAAAGCCCGGGGCUCAACCCGGGAAUUGCGNNNNNAACUGUAGGGCUUGAGUAUGGUAGGGGCAGAGGGAAUUCCCGGUGUAGCGGUUAAAUGCGUAGAUAUCGGGAAGAACACCAGUGGCGAAGGCGCUCUGCUGGGCCAUUACUGACGCUAAUGGACGAAAGCCAGGGGAGCGAAAGGGAUUAGAUACCCCUGUAGUCCUGGCCGUAAACGAUGAACACUAGGUGUCGGGGGAAUCGACCCCUUCGGUGUCGUAGCCAACGCGUUAAGUGUUCCGCCUGGGUAGUACGCACGCAAGUGUGAAACUCAAAGGAAUUGACGGGGGCCCGCACAAGCGGUGGAGUAUGUGGUUUAAUUCGAUGCAACGCGAAGAACCUUACCAGGGUUUGACAUCCUGCGAACCUCUAAGAAAUUGGAGGGUGCCUUUGGGAACGCAGUGACAGGUGGUGCAUGGCUGUCGUCAGCUCGUGUCGUGAGAUGUUGGGUGAAGUCCCGCAACGAGCGCAACCCUCACUUUUAGUUGCCAUCAUUAAGUUGGGCACUCUGAAAGAACUGCCAGUGAUAAGCUGGAGGAAGGUGGGGAUGACGUCAAGUCCUCAUGGCCCUUACGUGUUGGGCUACACACGUGCUACAAUGGCACUUACAAUAGGACGCGAAAACGCGAGUUUAAGCAAAUCCUAAAAUGAUGCCUCAGUUCGGAUUGUACUCUGCAGCUCGAGUACAUGAAGCUGGAAUUACUAGUAAUCGCGGAUCAGCGCGCCGCGGUGAAUACGUUCCCGGGUCUUGUACACACCGCCCGUCACACCAUGGGAGUUGGUUCUACCUUAAGGCAAGGCUUUAAAACCUUGACCACGGUAUAGUCAGCGACUGGGGUGAAGUCGUAACAAGGUAGCC